rnacentral:lncRNA from 1 species
UGAAAAUUAUUUUGACUUAAUGUCACACUUUGAUUUACUGAUUUACUAAUAUUUAUUUGCAGGUUUAGUUGCUUUUGUCUCCAUGUUGUCCAAGGGUUAUGUCGGCCAUGAUCCUAAUAUUAUCAUGGGUUUAGCAGAGUUGUUUAACUUGCAAACUGGAUUGAAGAUUUUGAAUAAAUUUUUGUGUUCUUAAUAUGGUCACAAGUUUGUACUUGUUUAAAACCCUCAAUCAUUUGAAAAUUAUGGCGCCGACAUGGUAGAUGUCCUAGAAAAAACUGGUAGUAACUCAAUGUAGAUACACAUAGUCGAUGGAGUUACUUGCUAAUAACUGGCAAUGAGACAUAUUUGCUUCAAAUAAUGCCUUUUAAGUUUGAAAAGAUUUUUUCUAAUUCAAAUGUCGACUUUUUGUUACAUGAAAAAAGAUACUUAUUUCAACCCCUCAACUAUAUUGAUACACUUAGUAUGUGGAGUUACUUGUCAAUAGCUGGCGAUGAAACUUUUAAACGUAACGUCUUUAAGGGCUGAGAAGGUAAAAAUUAGAAGUCUGCAGACUGCAACGUAAAUCGAUUUCAACACGUUAUGGCUUCUCGAAUAUAUUUAGUUUCCGAUCGAAAUGAGAAUAAACUGAACUUAUAUAUAUAAAGUGUUUACAAUUAACUUUUUAAACUAGAAAUACUCCAAAGGAGGUUCUCCAAACGCAAGUUAAGCAAAGUCGAUA